rnacentral:rRNA from 1 species
CAAAAGGUUUUAUCUUUUUUUUUAGAUGAGAUGAGAGAGACGGAGAGACAUCCGACAUCUUCCCCUUUUCUACCGUAGGCACCGCUGCCGCGGCGGCCGCCCCUUCGCCGGCCGCAGCCCUCCCGCCCUCCCGCUGGUGUACCACCAGUGCGGCGACCCGCGGCCGCCGCUCCAGCCGGCGAGGACGCAGGUGUACAGGAAGUUCCCGGCGUGGCAGGAGAAGCUGACGCCGUAGGUGGGCCGGAUGAGGCCGUACCGCCGCGACGGGAUGAAGCUGCUCUAGCUGGGGAGGCGAUAGCUGCAGGAGGAGCAGUGGGUGAAGGUGAACCUGGUGCGUCGGAGCGACGGGAUGAAGGAGCUCUUCUGCUGCAAGUUCCCGGCGCACAAGUACUGGGUGCGGUGGUUCCGGUAGAUGUCCGACGACGAGAGCCUAAUGCAGUUCCAGUCGUUCCACAGCCACCUCCUGUACGACAAACUACUCGUCCUGUAGUAAGCAAGGUACCUGUUCUAGCUCCAGUAUCUGAAGGUGGUUUGUGACCUUCAAUUACCGUAUGCGAAGACCACGAUAUGACGACCGGUACAUGAACCACGACGGUACAAGUACCACCUAUAACGACCACAAGCGUAAGACAUGUGACCACUGAUGAGGGCACUUCUUCUGGCUGUGGACUUUCGACGACUCCAGGGGGUCAAGAGGGGACUAUAAACGUAAUAGCUCAGUUGAAUACCACACGUCGUUGUGGUUGGGGCGGUACAGUCUCUCUUCGCGAAGUGCCUACGGUAGGUGUUGUGACAAAGAGUUCCCCCCGCACAAGAAUAGGGCCGUAUACGAGAACCAUCUCGUGUCCUCGACAACGAAUAGGACCUACUCAUAACCAGAUUGGUGGGUCUCGAGGUAUUCUAAGGUUAGAUAAUGCGGAGGGGGGAACGCUUCUUCACGUACCGACAGAUGGUCUGUAUGUAUUUGAGGUACUUACUUUCCUAAUCCUUGGUCAAACGUGUUAGGUUAGGGAAGGUAAAGUCCGUAUAACUCGGAAAUUUAUUGUAUCUGUUGAAGGUACUACACCCAGGCAGGCACCACUACCGUUCAGGUCCAUCAGAGGUUUCACCGGAGAGGUCCGUCGAGAAACUGUUCACCACGUGUCUAUUCUUCUUGCGUACGCAGUAAAGUCCAAAACGACAUCUUCCGAGGGAACACUUCUGGUAAUAGUUGCUCGGUUCUCUUCACUGCAAUCGUUUACCCGAGUGACGAGGAGAAGUAUACGUCUAGAAGAUGUAGAGGAAAAGUCGGGUACGACUAAAGGGUGUCUGCUCGCCGAAGAACCUACUCGAAGCAGGUGGGUUGUAAUAAGAACAUGUGCCUCUCCGUUUACUCUACCCCUCCGAAUUUGUCUUUGAAUAAUGAGUCAAACUACCUUGUUUGUGAUUUUAGCAGAGAGGGUUCUUGACGGUUAGUCACCUCUACAUAAAGUCGAGACUCUUUUACCGGUUCUAUCAACCGUCUGACCGUCUUUUCCAUGGUCUUCGCCUUCUUAGUCAAUCACCGAAUGAGCAGUUCUUCCCGAAGUGCAUAGUCUAGUACCGGGGACUCCUAGAGGCACACAUGUGUGUCAAUAGAUGAUGAUUGUAAUGAGUCGCCUAGAGGCAGGGCAUAAGACCAAGAAAACUUCAGUAGUUCAUGUCCGACUUCGUCUAUAUGCUCUCACACCUUAGUAGUUGGUUCCUUGGACUACAAGGUUGCAACUAACAAGUGCUCUCCCACUGGUAAGCGGACCUUAGUCUUUCGAUACAAUGCGACGUCACCAGGAGACUAAGGUAUUCACUGUACCACAGGCUAAGACAACACCGGUGCUAGAACUUGUAUCCGGCACUUCCGGGUUUCCGACAAGGCUAGCUUCGUCGUCGUUUCUGUCUUCUUCUUUGCCUCUUCCACCACGUCUUCCAUCAUAUACGAGAGUACCACAGCGAGAAGCCACUACAAUUUAAGCGUCUCCUUCCCUUCGAACAAUAUAGGCACCUACCUCUGCAGCGCGUAAACCUGCCCUCCUCACCACUACAGCUCACACUUUUACGACGUGACUUUCUUUCCCAGUCGUGACGUAAGGCGGCCUAUGUCCCGCGCCACUCUGGUUAGGGUGAAAGCCGUAGGACUGCUUUUCGGUAUUUAUUCUAAGAACAUACGAAAUUGAACAAGUUACAAAGGAUCCAUUUGUUUCAUCCUUCAAGUUUGAACCGACUGUACUUUUUUUCUCACAUUAUGACGGACACUUUGUACUCAACAUUGUAAUAUAAUUAUAUUUUUCACCAAGUCAGCAUACAAUUGCUUAACCAGCUAAUGCCUACGAUCUGACAAAACCAGUGAGGAUCGUCAAUACACUUGUUAGGAGAAGUGAACUUCACUUUGAGUAUGCCCGACUUCAGGGUGACUUCAACUAAGAACAAAUAAAAACGAAAAGUAGGACUCAGAGA